AGCAUAUCAAUAAGCGGAGGAAAAGAAACCAACAGGGAUUGCCCUAGUAACGGCGAGUGAAGCGGCAACAGCUCAAAUUUGAAAUCUGGCGUCUUUGGCGUCCGAGUUGUAAUUUGCAGAGGGCGCUUUGGCAUUGGCAGCGGUCCAAGUUCCUUGGAACAGGACGUCACAGAGGGUGAGAAUCCCGUACGUGGUCGCUAGCCUUUACCGUGUAAAGCCCCUUCGACGAGUCGAGUUGUUUGGGAAUGCAGCUCUAAAUGGGAGGUAAAUUUCUUCUAAAGCUAAAUACUGGCCAGAGACCGAUAGCGCACAAGUAGAGUGAUCGAAAGAUGAAAAGCACUUUGGAAAGAGAGUUAAAAAGCACGUGAAAUUGUUGAAAGGGAAGCGCUUGCAGCCAGACUUGCCUGUAGUUGCUCAUCCGGGUUUUUACCCGGUGCACUCUUCUACGGGCAGGCCAGCAUCAGUUUGGGCGGUUGGAUAAAGGUCUCUGUCAUGUACCUCCUCUCGGGGAGAUCUUAUAGGGGAGACGACAUGCAACCAGCCUGGACUGAGGUCCGCGCAUCUGCUAGGAUGCUGGCGUAAUGGCUGUAAGCGGCCCGUCUUGAAACACGGACCAAGGAGUCUAACAUCUAUGCGAGUGUUUGGGUGUCAAGCCCGAACGCGUAAUGAAAGUGAACGGAGGUGGGAACCUUUCGGGGUGCACCAUCGACCGAUCCUGAUGUCUUCGGAUGGAUUUGAGUAAGAGCAUAGCUGUUGGGACCCGAAAGAUGGUGAACUAUGCUUGAAUAGGGUGAAGCCAGAGGAAACUCUGGUGGAGGCUCGCAGCGGUUCUGACGUGCAAAUCGAUCGUCAAAUUUGGGCAUAGGGGCGAAAGACUAAUCGAACUAUCUAGUAGCUGG
rnacentral:rRNA from 1 species